UUAAGAUGAAUUGGUUUUGGUUUUAAAUAAUACCACUAAAAUCCAUUUGAAUCUUUCAUUCAAAGUUGCAAAAUGGAGAAACAUUUUUUGCCAGACACAGAUCGCUGUGUGUUUUUAAGAAGCAGGAGUGAAACGUAAUCAAAACUCUGGUGGAAGUUGACUGUGUCCCUUUUAAGAAAGAGUUUCUAAGCUGCUAAUGGCUUUAAAUCCAAAAGCAAGCCAAAAAGCGUCUGUUAAUGCAAAUUACCUAACUGAUAAAGGAAGCAAAGAACUAUCCAAAAAUUGCAGCACAAAGAAGUCUAAUCAAAGGACAAGAUGGGAGACAGGUAGAUCAGAGGAAGGUAUUAAGAGAGAAGUGUGAAGGCCAUCGCUAAACCAAAUGUACGAGGGAGGAACCAAAGACAGAUGCAAGGACACCAAGAGGCUGCAACACACCCCUACUGAAAUGUCAAAGGAAGUAGGCUGAUGACUCUAAAGAUGAGACAUGCACCUAUCCAUGGGGACAAGCCAGCUCUGAUCAAAACCAGCCUGGGAUAACUCCCUGAGGAACUAGAUGGAAGAAAAAGAUAAAGGAUGAGAAGAACAAGUUAAGAAAACAAGCACUCAUCAAACAACAAUUGAUUACAGCAUGGCAGUGCAAAACUCAUUGGUCACAAUGAAGGAAAAUCACUAUAUAAACAGGGUGCCUUGCCAUGAAACUUAAGGUUCAUCCUGCCUAGACUUCCCCAGAGAAUCACGUUGCAACCAACAGAUCCCAGCUCCUCCUACGUGUGAUCAACCUAGCUGGCCACAAGACUGAUCUGGACUGAUAAUUAUAACAUUGACUGGUGUGCAUGUGUGCGCGUGCACUAAUAGUUGUAUCUUCAAUAAACGCAGUGUAUUGCCUUUUCCUCUGAAAAAGAUCUAAUAUGCUUAUAAUAAAUAGGAGAGAGGAAGGGAUCAAUUUGGCCUUCACAUCCAAAUUCACAGGAGGAAGGGAAGAAGGGAAGGAGCCUGGUGUCUACUAGGAUCUACAGGAAACCAUAAGCUAAUUUACCCUGAAGAUAUGACCUCUGCUAGGGACAAUAACAAAUUGACAGACCUCCCAAGGGCUUUGUAGGGGAUCCCAGAUGUUUCCUUCAGGCACUUACAGAUUCUGAGUUGGUUUAAUG